rnacentral:rRNA from 1 species
AUUGAACGCUGGCGGCAUGCCUUACACAUGCAAGUCGAACGGUAACAGGUCUUCGGAUGCUGACGAGUGGCGCACGGGUGCGUAAUACAUCGGAACGUGCCCAGACGUGGGGGAUAACGAGGCGAAAGCUUUGCUAAUACCGCAUACGAUCUAAGGAUGAAAGCAGGGGACCGCAAGGCCUUGCGCGUUUGGAGCGGCCGAUGGCAGAUUAGGUAGUUGGUGGGAUAAAAGCUUACCAAGCCGACGAUCUGUAGCUGGUCUGAGAGGACGACCAGCCACACUGGGACUGAGACACGGCCCAGACUCCUACGGGAGGCAGCAGUGGGGAAUUUUGGACAAUGGGCGAAAGCCUGAUCCAGCAAUGCCGCGUGCAGGAUGAAGGCCUUCGGGUUGUAAACUGCUUUUGUACGGAACGAAAAGGCUCUGGCUAAUACCUGGGGCACAUGACGGUACCGUAAGAAUAAGCACCGGCUAACUACGUG